rnacentral:rRNA from 1 species
UACGUAGGGUGCAAGCGUUAAUCGGAAUUAUUGGGCGUAAAGCGUGCGUAGGCGGUUCUAUAAGUCUGGUGUUAAAGCUAGGGGCUCAACCUCUGUGAUGCACUGGAAACUGUAGGACUUGAGUGCGGUAGGGGAAGGUGGAAUUCCGGGUGUAGCGGUGAAAUGCGUAGAUAUCUGGAGGAACACCGGUGGCGAAGGCGGCGUUCUGGACUGCAACUGACACUGAGGAACGAAAGCCAGGGAGCAAACGGG